rnacentral:tRNA from 1 species
UGGGGUGUGGUUCAGUGGUAGAGCGCUCUCUAGCAUGUGUGAGGCACUGGGUUUGAUCCUCAGCACCACAC